UACGGAGGGUGCAAACGUUGCUCGGAAUCAUUGGGCGUAAAGCGCACGUAGGCGGUCCGGUAAGUCGGAUGUGAAAUCCCUCGGCUCAACCGAGGAAGGGCAUCCGAAACUGCCGGGCUUGAGUACGGAAGAGGGUCUCGGAAUUCCCGGUGUAGAGGUGAAAUUCGUAGAUAUCGGGAGGAACACCAGUGGCGAAGGCGGAGACCUGGGCCGAGACUGACGCUGAGGUGCGAAAGCGUGGGGAGCAAACAGG
rnacentral:rRNA from 1 species